rnacentral:misc_RNA from 1 species
AAACCUUCGGUUUGACGAUUUAUUGUCUCGCCGGCGUUGGCGGUUUUGGGAACGUGGGGGUGUGGUUUCGGCCCCUCCCGCGCCAUUCCGUUUAAACACUGACAGCGGGGUCAAGUUCCUACCCUCAUCGAUUAGUAGAAAUAUUCAUCGCUUCGAGGAUUUGAACUUCCCGCCAUACAAAAUAAGGGGGUAAAACCCCUAUCAU